AAGCAUAUAUUUAAUCGAAUAUUAAUCCUAACAAUCAAUAAUGCAUGACAGAAUUGAUGAAAAGAUUUUACUAACAUCCAAUUAAUCAUGUGAAAUAAAAAUCAUAAUCAUCAAAGAACAUAUAUAGGGAAUUAAAUAAAUAAAAAGAUAAUUAUUUCAUUGAAUAGAGUUUCAUCAUUAACCUCAGUAUAAGAAAAUUAGCUAGACAUACUUGAAUUGGGAGCAACAAAAUAAAUAAAUUCAGCCAUGGGAA
rnacentral:lncRNA from 1 species